UACGUAGGCAGCGAGCGUUGUUCGGAGUUACUGGGCGUAAAGGGUGUGUAGGCGGUUCUUUAAGUUUGGCGUGAAAUCUCCCGGCUCAACCGGGAGGGUGCGUCGAAUACUGAGGGACUAGAGUACGGGAGAGGAAAGUGGAAUUCCUGGUGUAGCGGUGAAAUGCGCAGAUAUCAGGAGGAACACCAAUGGCGAAGGCAGCACUCUGGGACGUGACUGACGCUGAGACGCGAAAGCGUGGGGAGCAAACAGG
rnacentral:rRNA from 1 species